UGCAAGUCGAGCGGAAACGAUGGAGCUUGCUCCAGGCGUCGAGCGGCGGACGGGUGAGUAACGCGUAGGAAUCUACCCAGUAGAGGGGGAUAGCCCGGGGAAACUCGGAUUAAUACCGCAUACGCCCUACGGGGGAAAGCAGGGGAUCUUCGGACCUUGCGCUAUUGGAUGAGCCUGCGUUGGAUUAGCUUGUUGGUGGGGUAAAGGCCUACCAAGGCGACGAUCCAUAGCUGGUCUGAGAGGAUGAUCAGCCACACUGGGACUGAGACACGGCCCAGACUCCUACGGGAGGCAGCAGUAGGGAAUAUUGGACAAUGGGGGCAACCCUGAUCCAGCCAUGCCGCGUGUGUGAAGAAGGCCUUAGGGUUGUAAAGCUCUUUCGUCGGGGAAGAAAAUGACUGUACCCGAAUAAGAAGGUCCGGCUAA
rnacentral:rRNA from 1 species